UUCCAUUGAGUCUACUUAGCGUAGAAGGCCGUUUAACGUUAUUGGUUGAAGAUGGUUCCUCUCACAUGGAAUCACAAUCAACACCAAGAGCACAUUACUCUGUUUUUUCGAUCUAUGGUUGUUACAUUACAACCUUAAAGCUCUUCACGAAAGAAGCGUUUUUUCACGACCUUCGAAAUCAACGGCAUUGACAAAGGGGGAAUUUUUUUCCCCUACAUUGGAGCAAUUAAUUUUCCCAAACCAACUAACUGUUUUGGUUCAGGUGCUCUUUUGUACAAGGAUUUGCCAAAGCAGCAGGUGUGUAACCCGUAGAAAUUAUUUUCAGCAUACACUCUUGCAUUUGAGGUGACAGACGUUGAUAUUUAUUAGUUCGCUUGUAUUUGAGGUUUGAAUAUAACUUCAUCACAGAAACCGUAACUCUCAGGGAAGUGAGUCCUAAGUAAGUCAUUGUAGAAGCCAUGGUUCUAGACUCCAUUUUGUCUACCCCUGUUCUGAGGUCACCAUCUUUCAGGAGGCAGUUUCAAAAGAAUGAACUGGGUAGUUGGUCAGCAUUGAUGAAGAGGCACCUCUUCCUCUUAUCUGCUCUUGCUCUACUAACUGUCCUCUGCAGCAUAUAUCUAUAUUUUGCGAUUACUUUAGGGGCCACCGACUCCUGCUUCGGAUUGAGUGGAUCUGAGAAAGUUUCCUGUCAGAUGGAUCUUGUUAAGGAGAUCUCUGCAGCCAGUGGUAAACUGAAAAGGCUGAAGCAAUUCUGAUUUCAAUACAACUCAUGGAAACUGUUUCUAUCAUUCCCUUUAGGUGACAUGAAAUCGAAAUAUAAUUUUUCGACUCAAUGUUAGUAUUAUAUGUAUUAUUUAUGUUAGCAUUUUGUGAGCCAAGGUGUACACAAUGCAUGUAGAAAGCAAUUUCUUGAUUGCUAAUUCCAGGGGUUGCUUUAUUGUACCCAAUACAAGAUCAUUGAGCGUCCUACCAGACCAAGUGAAGCUUGAGUUUUAACAAAGUUUAUUUGUAUUGACUACUUUGAAACUUCAUAUUUCUCUUUUUGUGUGA